AACGAACGCUGGCGGCAUGCCUAACACAUGCAAGUCGAACGAGACCUCCGUGACUGGUGGCGCAUGGGUGCGUCACGCGUCGGACGCUGCCCUUAGGUUCGGGAUACCUCCCUGACAGGGGUGAUAAUACCGGAUAAUGUCCUCUGACCACAGAUUUAUCGCAUUUGGAUGGGCCGGCGUUGGUUUAGCUUGUGGGUAUGGUAAAAGCCUACCAAGGCGAAGAUCCAUAGCUGGGCAGAGAGGAUGCGCAGCGACACUGGGGGGGAGACGCGGCCCAGACUCUUACGGGAGGGAGCAGAGGCGAAUACUGGACAACGGGCUGAGGGCUGAAGCAGCUAUGGCGGGUGAGCGAUUAAGUCCGUAGAGAUGUAAAGCUCGUUUACCCGGGGUUGUAAUGACGGUACCGGGAGAAUAAGCACCGGCUAACUCCGUG
rnacentral:rRNA from 1 species